rnacentral:rRNA from 1 species
AACUACUGCUAAUACCGGAUAUGCCGAAAGGUGAAAGAUUUAUUGCCUGGAGAUGAGCUCGCGUCUGAUUAGCUAGUUGGUGGGGUAAGAGCCUACCAAGGCAUCGAUCAGUAGCUGGUCUGAGAGGAUGAUCAGCCACACUGGUACUGAGACACGGCCCAGACUCCUACGGGAGGCAGCAGUGGGGAAUUUUCCGCAAUGGGCGAAAGCCUGACGGAGCAAUACCGCGUGAGGGAGGAAGGCUUUUGGGUUGUAAACCUCUUUUCUUAAGGAAGAACACAAUGACGGUACUUAAGGAAUAAGCAUCGGCUAACUCCGUGCCAGCAGCCGCGGUAAUACGGAGGAUGCAAGCGUUAUCCGGAAUGAUUGGGCGUAAAGCGUCCGCAGGUGGUUUUGUAAGUCUGUUGUUAAAGCGUGAGGCUUAACCUCAUAAUGGCAGUGGAAACUACAAGACUAGAGUACGUUCGGGGCAGAGGGAAUUCCUGGUGUAGCGGUGAAAUGCGUAGAUAUCAGGAAGAACACCGGUGGCGAAAGCGCUCUGCUAGGCCGUAACUGACACUGAGGGACGAAAGCUAGGGGAGCG